UACGUAGGGUGCAAGCGUUGUCCGGAAUUAUUGGGCGUAAAGAGCUCGUAGGCGGGAUGGCAAGUCGGUCGUGAAAUCCCUGGGCUCAACUCAGGGGGGUCGGCCGAUACUGCCGUUCUUGAGGGAUGCAGAGGAGACUGGAAUUCCCGGUGUAGCGGUGAAAUGUGUAGAGAUCGGGAGGAACACCGGUGGCGAAGGCGGGUCUCUGGGCAUUCCCUGACGCUGAGGCGCGAAAGCGUGGGGAGCAAACGGG
rnacentral:rRNA from 1 species